rnacentral:pre_miRNA from 1 species
UCUGAUCUGCCUGAAGCUCCAGUUGAAACCUGGCAAGGUCGUGUGCCCUCUCCACCGACAUGCGAGGGUCCACCGCCGUGUGGCACAGGCUACCAUGGUAGCCAGUCUGCGCACCUGCAGCCAGCAGCUGAAUUCAUCAGCUGUCGGCUGCAGGUGCGCAGACUGGCUACCUUCGAAGCCUGGGCCUCACGGCGGUGGACCCUCGCAUGUCCGUGAAGGGGGCUCAUGACCCUACCCAGUUUCAGCUGGAGCUUCAGGCACAUCAGA